rnacentral:rRNA from 1 species
CACGUAGGGGGCGAGCGUUGUCCGGAUUUAUUGGGCGUAAAGAGCUCGUAGGCGGUUCGGCAAGUCGGGUGUGAAAUUUCGAGGCUCAACCUCGAAACGCCACUCGAUACUGCUGUGACUGGAGUCCGGUAGAGGAGUGCGGAAUUCCUGGUGUAGCGGUGAAAUGCGCAGAUAUCAGGAAGAACACCCGUGGCGAAGGCGGCUCUCUAGGACGGUACUGACGCUGAGACGCGAAAGCGUGGGGAGCGAACAGG